CCUACGGGAGGCAGCAGUGAGGAAUAUUGGUCAAUGGGCGCGCGCCUGAACCAGCCAAGUAGCGUGAAGGAUGACUGCCCUACGGGUUGUAAACCUCUUUUAUAAAGGAAUAAAGUGCGGCACGUGUGCCUUUUUGUGUGUACUUUAUGAAUAAGGAUCGGCUAACUCCGUGCCAGCAGCCGCGGUAAUACGGAGGAUCCGAGCGUUAUCCGGAUUUAUUGGGUUUAAAGGGAGCGUAGACGGGUGGUUAAGUCAGCUGUGAAAGUUUGCGGCUCAACCGUAAAAUUGCAAUUGAUACUGGCAGCCUUGAGUACAGUAGAGGUAGGCGGAAUUCGUGGUGUAGCGGUGAAAUGCUUAGAUAUCACGAAGAACUCCGAUUGCGAAGGCAGCUUACUAAACUGCCACUGACAUUGAUGCUCGAAAGUGUGGGUAUCAAACAGGAUUAGAUACCCCAGUAGUC
rnacentral:rRNA from 1 species